CGAGCCCGCCCCGACAGGCACGAUGCGUCUCCAAUCAGCUGUCUCCGCCGCCCACGUGGGCCACGCCCCAGCGGAACAGGCGCUUCCGGAGGGCGGGGGCGGUGCGUCGCCGGGGGGUGGUGCUGGUGAAGGUCACGUGGGCGCCGAGCUGCAUGCUAGAAGCCCCCAUCCCAGCCUCCAGCUACGGUACUGGAAGUCCGCUUCUCGUCUCCGGAUGUCCCGCCUCCUUCUUCCAGAUUUGCUAGUCCACCCUUUUCUCUAUGGUUCAGCGGCACUAGAGCGGUCGCUUGGGUCCGCGCAAUUUUCCUCUGGGGGUGAAGGCUGCGUUAGCUCGGGCUCCCGAGUCUCUGUGGUGCCGGCGCGGAGCGGCAUGUCGGGCUCGGAGGACUACAGCUCGGCGGAGGACGAGGACUACGUGCCCUCGGGUGCUGAGUACAGUGAAGAUGAUGUGAGUGAAUUGGUAGAGGAAGACGAGGAAGAAAAUUUGAACAAAAGGAAAAAAGGUUCCAAAAGUAUUGCAUGCAGGAAAAGGAAGAAAGGAGGCCUCUUGUUAGAGCCAGGUGACUCUGAGGAGGCAAAGGCUCAACAAGGUGAGAAGGAAGAGGUGGAUAGUCUAAGGCAGGUGGAAGGAGACAGAUCAGAAGAAGAAGAGAAGAAGAAAGAGGAUGCUCUUUGGGCCAGUUUCCUCAGUGAUGUGGGACAGAAACCUAAAACCCUGGCUGCUGCUCAGGUGACCAGUCCACAGACUUGCAAGACUGUAAAGAAGAAUUUGAACAAGUCCCUAAAAGAAGUAGAAGAGCCAGAGGAGCAGAAGGAUAUUGAAAAAGUGACAAUCACCAAAGUGUUUGAUUUUGCAGGUGAAGAGGUCAGAGUGACUAAAGAAGUAGAUGCUGCCUCAAAAGAAGCCAAAUCUUUUCUGGAACAGCAAGAGAAGGAGAAAACUCAGACAGCAAUUCCAGCUUCUCUUCCUACAGUCUCUGGGGUGAAAAGGCCAAGUGGCAUGAACAGCCUCUUGGGGAAGAUUGGCUCCAAAAAGCAGAAGAUGAACACCCUGGAGAAAUCCAGACUGGACUGGGAGAAUUUCAAGGAUGAGCAGGGGAUUGGGGAGGAGUUGGCUAUCCACAACCGAGGGAAAGAAGGCAAUGCCAGACCUCACCACUGGAGCAUGCCAGGCCUGAGAGGGGUAAUUGUGAUGCAGCUGCUCCCCCAAUAUGCAUGAGGCACCUUUGUCUAUGUCCCAGACGUACCCUUUUCCCGCCGGCUUGAGUUGCAGACGGAUUUACUGGCAUUGGCCUCGCCAGCUGGAGCAACUCACAUUGUUGUCCAGACGACCGAACCAUUUCCGUCACAGCCAGCCACGACGACAUUCGCACAGGUCAUACUUCUAAUGAUCUUACCCCAAUCCCUGGAGUCAGAUGAUACAGGUGUUAAUGAAGGUGCUUUGGAAGCACAACAGCUCCAUGAGCCUAUCAAAAAGGCCAAGAUCUAUCAAACCUCUACAGGGGCAAGCAAAUCACAAGAGUGAGAACAGAAAAGAAAGAGAGUCUCUGGCUCAGAACCAGGGACAGCAGAGUCCCUGCUACUGGCAUCCAGGGGCUUGGAGCCGCAGUGCUUCCAUAGUGUCUCCAAGGGGCAAAGGGAGCCAGAUCUGGGCUCUUCAGCCCCCCCUGCAGGGGACCAGAACUUAAAACUGAAUGUAUUGCUAGUGAAACCAACCAACUGGAAGCUCUGGGCUGGGACAGCCACAGAGAAGGUAAAGCCUGGACAAACUUUCCAGGCCUAUCCUGCAGAGGCACCCCUCCCUGAGAGAAGAUUGGUAUCUGUGGCCCAUUCGUGCCCCACAGAAAAGUGCCAGGGCUGGUGGCAAUACCUAUAAUGGAAACCCGCCUGCUGUCUCUAAACCAAUGCCACAUAACCUUACAGCCAGUCAGUGAUGUCGACUCUGCCAGCACUCAUCCUGGCUGCAUUAGCACCUUUAAUUCUAAUCUCAGUUCAGAAAUAUUCAUGGCCUACAUACUAAAGCCAGAGAUGGCUGCUCUUUGCUGACACUAGCAGGAUGUGACAGGGCAGCUAUGUAUUUUUGCAUCUGUGCUGUGCUUGGACAGCACUUUAACUGACCAGUUCCUUUGUUUUGGAGCUGACAGCUGAUGUUGAAGUCUGUGGGGAUUUCUGGAGAUGGGUGUUUUUCAUUUCUGGAUCUAAGAUACAUUGGCUGUUUGCAUGAUAACAAAACCAUAUGUCAGCCUAGUGGUAUAGCGGCACUGAUGGUCAGAGGACAGUUUGCCAAGUGCUGUUUUGUCUGUUCCUCCUGGAAAUAAAGGAUUGUUGGGCUCUACCAGAAAGCUUCCCUUUGCACUGCAGCCCUAGUAGUGAGGGAAAAGCAGAAAUAGCUGGUAUCCAGCAGUUGUGUCCCUCAAGAUAUACAGCCACAGCAGCUGUAAGGUACUCAGUACCAAACACUCCUUUUGAUUCCAGUGGGAGUGGAAGGCAGUCAGGCUGACAGACACAGAAGUGCUAUAUAAUACUGUGAUAAAUACUCACUUGAAUAGAACCAUUUUAUGAGCACUGCACACUACCUUCUUGGCAACAGGAAGCUGCGGUAUAUGGUAUUAUUUGUAUUUCCUAUAUGACAGUAUCAUAUCCAUCAAACUCAAUAAAGGCUGUGAAAGAGCAAACAAGAAAGUGACACAGCAGAUCUAAAUAAGGAUGCCCAGUACACACUUGAAAAACCACAGGGCAAGCUGUUAGCUUUAAGAAUCCGGUGUCUAGGUUCUAAGAAAUUGUGAACCUUAUUUUGCUAAAAUGGCACUUCUUGUGGGAGAAGAGAGAGUCAUCUUUUAUUUUGCUGGAUCAAGGUCUUUACUGGGUCAAAGCACAGCAGUGCACAGUGUUAGCAGCAGUACCAGCCUUGGCUUGGGGACAGACAGGAAAUUCAUCUCCACUUCUUAGCCAGACAGCCAAGAUGGUGGGCAGGACCUUGCUGAAGGCACAGUGUACUUUUGAGGUGCCUCGCUGAUCAGGAGCAUAGCCAGGUCCACCCAGAAGCCCUGAGACAGCAGCUUGAAGUUGACCAGGUCCACCUGCAAGUCAUAGGUGUGUAGGUCACUGAGCUCACAGUGUGUUGCUGAUGCCAUCUGUGCUUUUCUCAAUGUUUCCAGGGCACUGGCCACCUUCCUGCCAUGUGUGAGAGCCUGGUUGGAGCUGUGGUGCAGGCUGAAAGGGGGUGGGGGGGUUUUGGCUUAGAAGUAAAUGGUGACCAUCUCCAGGGGCUUGGUUCUAAAGUCUUCCUGGUGGCUGAGUGCCUUCUCUUGGGUGUUCUGCAACAGCUGCUUAUCCUUGGUAGCCAGGAUGGCAGUGGCUGUUCAUCUGUCUGGAGCUGCCUGUCAGCACCUGUCUAGGGAUAUCGGCUGACACAGAAAGAGAGAGGCUCUGAGGUAAGAUGCUCGCCUGAAGUACACAAACCAAUGGGAAGCCAGCCUGCCAGUGGCUUGCUGGGCCCUGAGCUAACAACACACAACAGAUGCCAGCCAGCCACAGCAGCGAGGGCAGGGUAAGGAUCUCAGUGCAUGAGUGCACCUGCAACUGCAUCCCAAACAGACUCAUGCUCCUGUGUGCAGCUGUGCCCUAGCCUUUUGGGAGACAGGGUCUGACAUGCCAAGUGCUGCGGUACUAAUGCUGAGCAUGGUCUGGCAGCUGGGCUGGUGGCAGAGCAGUCACAUGACUAAGUAAGCAGGCCUUCCCAGAGACCGGGAAUAGUAACUCUUAGGGAAAACCAAAUGUGCACGCAGUCUUUUCCUGGUUUGAAGACAGGUUUUGUCCAUCCAUAUGAUGCUACAUUUGAAGGAGGAUAUUUGGUCACUGUAUUAACCACUGUCAUUAUCCUGGGGUAAGAGAGGUUCAGAACUGACAAAUGGACUGACGUCAAAACAGCUGAGAUAAAUCCUAGGUGACAAACAGCCCCAGAGCCUGGUCUGACAAGUAGGCGAACCAUCUGACUCCAUCCCAAGAGACAGGGUGAUGGCUCAAGGGCUGACACCUCUGUGGGGGAAGGGUUUGCAGUCAGACCUCACUGAGCAGUGGCAGGUGCAUUCUGUCCAGUUACUGUUGGUCCACAUCAGCUGCCAUGUGAUGGUUACUGUAGCGAAAGCAUUGGUGUCUGUGACCUUUUCUAGCACUGCAACAUGUAGUUGUGUUUUGGAUUCCUCCUCCUUAGUACUUGCUCCUGAGGGGUUGCAACAAUGCUUGUUAAAGUAGCAAAUGCUGGGGAUCAUUCCCAGUGGGGAUAGUCAGACCUUAUAUAGACACAGUGAUUCCUUUUCCAUGCUGUACCAUACUAAGCACUUUUAUACUGGUGUAACCCCAUCUACCCUCAGGGCCUGUACUGAUCCAGGAGAGCUGAUGCAGUGAAUUGUUGUUAUAUGUGGAUAAGCUCAAUAUCAAAUUGAACCAGCUCAAGGGCUUCUGAGUGUGGCUACUGAAGACGCUUGCAGAGAAUCCUCAGUGUAGGUUUUGUUGUGCAUGUAACAGUACCCAACAAGGUUCAGCAGUAAGGACUGACCCUGAGACCUACUCCCCCUCAUCCCCUUCCCCCCCCAGCAGUGAAAGUCAAACUAAGGAUGACCCUGGCUGCAAGGGCUUGUGGGUUUGCAGCAUGGCUCUGACAUCUGUCAGGCAAAGCGGGAUGAGAAGAGGUUGCUCUUCUCUGGUGACACAAAUAAGUUACGUCUGACUUGGUAUGUUGCCUUGCUGCUCUCUAGGAGCGUGGCCAACUCUUCAGCUACCAGGAUGGAGCUACAUCAAAUCUGAGCUGAAAGCAGCUAAUCCGGGUGGGGCUUCUCAAUUGCCAAUCUGCCCCAGGACUCCAAACCUUGUCCAUUGGUUGCAUCACUGGCAAAUUGGUGAGAGUAAACCAAAGUGAAGGGAAACAUAUACAUUCCUCUCCCAGGCCUUGAUUUUCCUCUUGAAUGGGGGAGAUGUUGGAGAGCUGCUCCUACUUCCGCUGGACAAGUGCGAGUACAGUCUUAUCUCCAUUAGUGACGGAGUGAUGGUGCCAAUCAGCAGAGCAGCCCUGGGGAGGAACCUGUCCUGCUAUGUGUCCUCCUCCUCCAGCUUAUAUCUGGUGAACAGCUGUGGUAGGAGGAGGUAGUGUUCUGGAGUAGCUCCCACUCUGAAGGAAACACAUGCCAAACUCUUUGCUGGAAUUCAUCUUCCUGUUUGUGCAUCGUUAUCUCAGUCUCUGGAUGCUGUGACUCUCAGGGCAAUAACCCUUGUAUCCCCAGGCCCCAACAGCUGUCCCUGUGCUUCACAAAGGCUUGCCACGUCAUAGAAUGCAGAAGUCCUGUCUGUUGUCUGCUGUAACCACUCAGGAAAAAAUCCAGACAAGUAAAAUCAGACCUAGUGUGGGGUGUAGUGAUAGACAUUAUGGGCAUAUUUACCCAUGUGCCGGAGUGGGGAAGGGGGCACUUUAAUUACAGCAGCUCUGAGAGCCACUUUAAUUAAAGUGCCUAUGGCAUCAAGUGCAUUCAGCAUCCUGUGCUUCAGAAUGGUGAUAGAGGCACUUUAAUUAAAGCUCAUUCAUUGAGCUUUGGUUAAAGUGCCCCUGCCACUAUAUUGAAGUGCAGGGACUCUGAAUAGACAUAAUGCAGAGGCUGCUGGAGCAUGCUAGUUAGCAUGCUCCAGUAGACUCGAUUAAUCAAGUCUGAUACGACACAUCCUAAUUAGCAUACAUUGGAGCAGCCGUCUGGCAUGUGUAUACGUGUCCUAUAAUUUAGAGAUGCUCCCUGAUAAAAGACUAAGGAAAUUGGGAAUUGGGAGUUGGUCCCUCAGUUAUGAAACAGCUUGUUAUAGAGAAACAAGUGUGUAGAAGUUGCCUACUGCUGCACAAUUAAAGUUUGUUGUUCAUUCUUCUCAUCCGUUGUAUGCUUGUGUUUAUUGAACCCGGUAAUCAAUAUGUGUGGACCCUGCAGCCAAGCAGGGAGCAACAUCAUCACUGCAAUGAGAUUGUCUCAGACUGCCCUGGUGAGCACAGUGCAGGCAGGAGUUAAUGGUAGGUUUCCUGGAUGGCUGCUGUCCCUGACAGUCAUGUGCUUCAACAGCAGCUUGUCCCUGGCAGGCUUGAAUCACUCUGAUAAUAGCACAGUGCCUGGAAAAGCCCGGACCAACCUGGCAGUCAGUGCACAUCCAGCUCCACAAUUAACUCACUCAUCUGGGAAACCAGUCUAUAUGUUUCUUGGAGCAGUGACCAUGUCUUCUUUCUCUCGCUAAAGUUCCACAGACUUUGCCAGUCCUGAAGCCUCCUGUUCUGGCACUGAGUUCCUGUUUGAAAAAAUAAGGGCAGGGCCCACCCUCCUUGCCUGCAGACUGAAUUGAACAGUUGGGCACCCACCCUAUAUAGUGCUAAAAAAGGCUAAAUAAUAAUCCCUAAGUUGUUUGUAUGGUUGGAGGGGUGAUACCAUCCUAAUGAAACUUCAGAGGUGGUUUUUUUUGUUUGUUUGUUUUUUGUUUUGUUUUUUGCAAGGGGCUCUCUGUUGAUACUGAAAUGAGAAGCUGGUCCCAUUGGCAGGGAGUUAUACUCAAUACUUGGGGGGAGGGGAGGGUUCCCACCACUCAGUUUAAUUAAAUAAAGUUUAAUUUCACUACUUCAACCCUGACUUCUCUGGCCCUGCUGUGAAUGGAUUCUUUGAGGCACUAGUGGUCCUCUUCUCUCUGCAUAACCUCAGUGGUUGAGUUUGGUUCUUUAUUCUGCAUUUAGAUAGGACCUGGUGCAAUGGCCACCUGGUCCAUGAGUUUUUACUACAGUUAUCAUCACCUGUUCCCCCUCCUUGAGUCAGACCUUAAAAUGUUGUAAGAUGGAGUAGCCUCCUUUGGAUUUAACCAGAUUUGUUUUCAUACAAGUAGGUGAGAGGUUCUGCUAAUCCAGUACAUAGUAACAGCUAAGAGAAAAGCCUUUGGGCCUGCGGGAAAACAGCUAAGAGAAAAGCCAGCUAAGAGAAAAGCCUGUGGGCCUGCAGGAAAACUCCCGCAGGCCCCUCCACCUUCUGCAGGUGAAGGGGCCUGUGGGAGUUGCAUUCAGGCUGCAACUCAGCUCCUCUCCCCCAGUUUGGAAGAACUCUGUGGACUUGAUUUUUUUUUUUUAAAGCGAAUGGGUAAGAUGCUCACCUGAAGUACACAAACUAAUGGGGAGCCAGUCUGCCAGUGGCUUGCUGGGCCCUGAGCUAACAACACACAACAGAUGCCAGCCAGCCAUGGCAGUGAGGGCAGGGUAAGGAUCUUAGUGCAUGUGUGCACCUGCAGCUGCAUCCCAAGCAGACUCAUGCUCCUGUGUGCAGCUGUGCCCUAGCCUUUUGGGAGACAGGGUCUGACAUGCCGAGUGCUGCAGUACUAAUGCUGAGCAUGGCCUGGCAGCUGGGCUGGUGGCAGAGCAGUCACAUGACUAAGCAGACAGAGCAGCUGUCUGCAACCUCCUGGUACAGCCUAAUCCAUUUCAACUCUCUUCCCUCAGCCCUUUGGCUGGUGUCCUGAGUAGGCUACAAAAGAAUUAACUGUCAAUUAACCUUGUCCAAGUUCAGAAGGAAGCUGUGAGACUCAUAAGCUCCUUAGUGCUGUUCACACAGAACUUGGCCUGCUCUCUCUUCCCAGAAGCCAGUUAGCCCUUAUCUCCCUCCAAACAUGUCUACUCUGCAAGGGCUUUCCAUUUCCAGGGCAUCAGGCUGUUCACCCAGCAUGAUCUGCAGAGGAAUACCACCAGCAAUCUGCUGAUUGACAGUGCAAGCUGCACUAACUCCAUCCAAGGCUCCAGGGCCUCUGAGGCCUUUGUUUCAACCCUGUAAGAAAACAGUUUCUUCAAAAGCAGAGGUGUAACACUGCACCUAGGUGCCUAGGACAGCUGUGACACACAGGGGUAGUGGUAACUUCUGCCUGCCACUGUGCUGCUAGCAUAAUUGCAUGGCUACAGGGGAAUUUUGUUCUGCCCUCCCUCCAAAGUUUCAAAGGUCUCCCUUUCCCAAUCACUUCUGUUAUUUAAGGUCAUGGCAGGGAGGGGUCCCUUAAAUGAAGACAAUGAGAGUGCAGAUUCUCAACCUAUGGGCUGUGCCGAUCAAAUGGGCAGUACAACAUGAAGAUCACAGGGGUAUUCUGACAGCACAAAGAUAUUCCCAAAAUCCAAUCCCAGCAUGCAGUGUGUAGUGUUCAUUGGGUUCAAUAAACACAGUCAUACAACAAAUAAGAAGAACUAACAAUAAAUUUCAUUUGUGGAGCAGUAAGCAACCUCUGCAGACCCUUUGUCUGUCUAUAGCUAACCAGCUGUUUAAUGGAGGGACCAUCCCACAGUUAUCAACUUCCUCAGUCUCUUUAGUUAGGGAGCAUCUUCAAAUUACAACUUCUAUUGCUGCAUAGCAGGUUCAGUGUAAAGCCUGGUUUAGAGUCCUAGGUGAGACACUUUGUUCAAAACUCCUGAUCAUGCACAUAGUUAAAGAUUAGAACAGGCUCCUUAAAUCUGGGGUGACAGGCUAUUUUGUCAGGAUAUCUGGGACCUUCGCCAAAGCCCUGUAGAUUUGCCUGACCUACGGAUGUGCACGUGCAUUUGUACACACACACACACACACACACGUGUGUGUGUGUGUGUGUGUGUGCGCGUUCCCACUUCCCAGAAACUUCCUAUUGUAUGCAUGUGAAAACUCUCAAACUUGCCCACGCCCCUGUACACAUAGUAUCAAUUUUAUUUAUGCUGUACUGUCUCUUCUCCCCUCCCCCACCCCCAGCUCCACAUACACACAGUUUUUACCACUUGCCCAAAAAGCAGUUAUUAUUUUAAUAUCAGCUGAUAUGCUCCUGUACUUUUAUACACACCAUCUGCCCCAAAAAAUCCUUGUGGUGUUUGUGAUGCAAAGACACAUGCAGGCACAUGCAUGCUCCUUCCCAUUGUUCAGAAAGGUACAGCUAGACCAAUGCAACAAGUCUAUACUCAGCCUUGUGGCUUGCAGGCAGCUGGCGCUCUCAGGCAAGGUUAUUUUGAUCUUGUGAUACGUCAUCCUCACAGAACAUCAGCGGCUGCCUGCAGUGUUUAAGAGGCAUGCCUCUGAGCAGCCAGCUCUGCCAAUUAAUGAUGUCUUCACCAGGCUCUUUCAUUGGUUUGUCAUUGAUGGGCUCGCAAGGUGCUUAGAGGCAGGCACAUAUACUGAGCUGCUGAGAUUUCAAGCCCCUGUGGAAAUUCACAAUCGCACUGGAGUUUUCUAUUUAAAAUCCAAAGUGAUUUACAGACAUUAACAGACUGGGUCUAAUGCUGUCUGUGACACUGGCAGAGAACAUGAUCUGCAGUUUACAGAUGGGUAAAUGGAGGAAAGGAGAGGCCACACAAUGAAUCAAGAGUAGGGACUGGCAUCCAGAUCUUCUAACUCCCCGCUCAGUGCUUUCACUGGGCUCAGUUGCAUGAUGUCCAGGAUUGGUUUGGCCUAGUGGGUCUGUGCUCAGCUUCUGCAGUUUUUCAUGUAAUACUAAUCAGAUGCUAACAGUAUUGCCAGUUCUCAAGAUUUUACCACAGGACUCACAAUGUUUGAGGUUUUUCUUUAACCUCCAGCUCCUGGAGUCAAGGGAUUACAUGAGAGCCUUGAAUUUUAUUUUAAAAGUAUAGUAGCUUUCUAUGCUUCAUGGUGACUUUUAACAGCCGAAGACACCAGGAAAUGAUUACAAAGAACACCACGUUUCACAUUUUUAAACUCUUGUGGUUUUCAGCCAACCCGCUAUCCUGACUUUUUAUUUUUUUAAGCUAGUUCCUGCUAUCCUGACUCAUGAUUUUUUAAUAUUCAGGGUUGGCAACACUGUAUAAAAGAUCAUGGACAUUUCAUUUCACUGGAUGACACAAGUGCUGAUAGUCAGAUGGCCUUGAAAACAAUUGCUCUUUUAGUAAGCUGGCAGCUCUCAUUGGGAGACAAGGCUGAGAAAAAGCACAGGAGUGAUUAGCAGUCUCUGAAGAGGCAGCUUUAUGGAAGCACAGAUCUGACACUGGAUGCUGCAGAGGGAAUCCUGUCACUGUGUGGGAGAUAGUGGGCCUGCAGGAAAGGGGUGGUCUGGGGUGGAAAGAGAAGACCCUGCCCCCUAAAUUUGAUAGAGUAACACCAAGCACUGAGAAAUCUUCACAUGAAGCUCUGCAGGGACCUCUCCUGAAAUGGCUUGGCACAUUUUCAAAUCUGCCAGUGAGGUGAAGGAGCCACAGCUGCAUUGUAAGUCACUGGGGCUAAGGUGCCUAAAUCACUUAGGCGCUUAUGUACAAAAAUAAUUUAUUUUUCCCCUAGUUGCCCCUAGGACCAGACAGUUGCUCUCUGGGGCUUCUUUCUUACCUACAGUCACCAGGAACAAUUCUGUCCUGCUCAAUGUCCUCUCUCUAGCCCCAUUCAUCAGCAGUCAGUUCACACAGGGGCAAUUUAGGGAUCAUUUUUGCCCUGGAUGCCAAAGGAGUAUAACUGGGCUUCCUCCCCAUGCCUGGGCUGGCUCUGAGGCCCAUGGGAAUAGAGUCCAUUCCUUCUACUGUCAGUGAAAUAGCUACAGGACCAGGGAAUUCCACCCCCACCCCUGCUCUGAGCUGGCCUUAAAGGAUUAAAAAGGCUGCCAGGUGUAAAAACCAUUUAUUUUGAUUUCUCAAGACAGGAGUUGCUGUCCAAGAGGACAUUUGCACAGAGUCAGCCAUUCUUAGAUGGUCACUUCCCAAAAUGGAAUUAAACAUUGGCUGGGAUUUUCCAAGCAGCCAAAAGGAGUUAGACCCCUACAUUCCGUUAAACAUCCCUUACGCUCCUUGGAGAGUCCCAUCUGUGCCCUUUGUAACUGUCAAAGAGUCUGUAAUUGUUCCUGUCUACUGUGAACUUUGCAAAGGCCAUCCAUGGCUUUGUCACCUUGUGGUUGGCCUCUGUCCUGUGGUCAGGAGAAAUCCCCUUCCAAAGCAUAAUCAAAAUCCCACUGAAGAGACAGCCUGGAGCAUGAUACUCCUAUAUCACCUGCUCUGCACCCUGAGUGCGGCAAGCUCCUGGACCUAAUUCUCCGUUUUCUUCUACAAGUUUUAUGCUAGUGCCAUUCCAUUGGCUUCCAUAGAGCUAUUCCUGAUUUACACCAGUGCAUGUGAAAGAAGAAUUUUUUCCCAUAAAUCUGGGUCCUGUUUGCUUUCAGGAUUCACUCAGGAUUUACAGUCCUGAGUGAUUUAGGAUCUGCUUGUCUGAGAGAUUCAUGUAUCCUCAGUGGGCAGUGGGCCAUGACCGCGCCUGCCAGGGACUUCAUGAAUACACAAGAUGUUUUGUUCCCAUGAACUGUUCAGCAUUGGCCCAUCUCUUGAGACAUCAAACAAAGGAACAGUUGGUACAGUGAUAUUUUGAGGAAAUGUAAUAAUAUGGAAUGUAGAACCAAAUGUGAGCAGCCAAACCUUGAGUUGGGAAAAGCAGGAUCUACUUGACACAAAAUAUUAAUGCUAAUCUGUAUUUGACCUCUGGGCAUUACAGUGGCUGGUACUGUGUGAGAGCCAUGUAUAGGUGGGUGGACCUCCAACUCUUUCCAUGGAGACCCCCUUGAUUGUAAGAUUUAAUAGCUUUUUCUAGGCAGUCAGGAUGGUGGUAGUAUCUUUUAGAAUUUAUGCUAUCUUAAUGCACUGUAGCAGUCUGCCUUUGCCACGGCCCAGAAGAAGGUGGAGUGGAGAGACAGCUAACAGGAAAAAGGAGUGGCUUAUCUCUUCCUGUUGCUUUUCCAUGAACAGUCACACACGUCAUGCCAGGAUGAACCAGGGAUACUGCCUGUGCAAGACACAACAGACUUUUCUAGAAGACACUGAUGGACACAUGAAUACGACUGUAAAUUUUGCCUUGCAGUGUUUUCUAUAGCAACAGUCACCAGGGUAACCUGCAUCCUAAGCAACAAUUCCUGAAACUUUCAACUGUAUCUGCUUCCACCAGAAGCUGAUAAAAGACAAGCUUGAUGAGCUACCAGCAUAGCUUCAGUUGGUUGGAAAUGAAACAGAAGAGAGUAACACAAGAGCUGCAGAGGCAGAUUUCUUUACAUUUUGUCCCUGACAGAAAACAUGCAUUCCUGUUCUCUGGCAGUUGCCUGGUGGAUUAUGUUUAAUGCCUGCAAAUUGCUGCUUUAAUGCAAGGUGAUUAGCAGGACUGUUGUGAUUUUACAUGCACAAGAAUGAGGGAAUUCACAAUUAUGGUGGCUGCGUUAAUGGGAACUUGACCUUCUCACACAGGGCAAUGUUUACUAUGACUGAAUGGAGCUAAUUCUAAAGCCUUCCUAUAUGUGCUCAAAGUUGCUUAAUUCACAGUUGCUGUAUGAUCCCCAGCUGUGAACAUCCUGAAUUUUGUGUGUGUUGCAUCUUAACCCUAAUGUCUCAUUAACAUAGUUUCCAGUAUUUAACUUGCUUGGAUUUGAGAAAAGCAGCCGAGAAAAAAGUAACCUGCCAUUUCUUACACAUUACAGCCCCAUUUCAGUAUUAUGCUCUUCCUUUAACACUUCCGUUGUGGAAGUGUCAUUCAAUCAGAGGGUUCAUUCAUAUAUUGUGCUAGCUGUUGUAGAAAUGUAAUAAAUGAUGGUCUCUGCCUCAAGGCCUUUACAGGUGAGAUUCAACUGUAUAAUCUAGAUGCAUUUAUUGGAAUAUCCCCACAAUAAAUGGAAACUUCCGAUUGGCCAGUUUUUUAAACUUAAAAAUGUAGGUUUUAGAUUUGAAAUAGAUUUCAAAUAUUGAUGUCCAGCAAAAUGACAUUUAGGGACAGCUUCCUGUCCACAGCCAGAGCUGAUUCUCAGAGAGCCCAAAUGCUCAGCACAUAUGAAACAGCUCCAUUGAGCUGCAGUGAUUUACACUAGUGGAGAAGCUAGCUCCAAACUUUAUUGUUUAUAGGGCACAGGAUUUCAUUUGGUUAGAAUGACCUGAAGGAAAGUGGAGCUCCAGGGGAGGUGAGACAUUUGAAUGCAAUAUCCUUUGGAAAACAUUCACUUAAAACAGGAUUAAAAAAACUCAAGGACUUCUGCAAAACCCAACCAUUAUUAAAAUACUGAAGGGAUGAAUUUUAAAGCAAGGCAAACAUGAGAGCACAUGUGGGGAGUCACCUGGGAGAUGGAGCAGUGGACAUCCCUGUGGUAGAACCUGGGGGACUUGGGGUCUGUCUCUGUGAGCUUGGGUGACUUCCCUUUUCUGUUGCCCUUUGAAUCACUUGUCUUGCAUAUUAUAAGCUUGCUGAAACAAGAAUUACAUCUUUCUG